UCACUUUCAACAACGGAUCUCUUGGCUCUCGCAUCGAUGAAGGAUGUAGCGAAGUGCGAUAAGUAAUGUGAAUUGCAGAAUUCCGUGAAUCAUCGAAUCUUUGAACGCAUAUUGCACUCUCUGGUAUUCCGGAGAGUAUGCCUGUUUGAGGGUCUGUU
rnacentral:rRNA from 1 species